CAGUAGCCCGGGAAUACGGAGGAUCCGAGCGUUAUCCGGAAUUAUUGGGUUUAAAGGGUGCGUAGGCGGACAGAUAAGUCAGUGGUGAAAGACGGUGGCUCAACCAUCGCAGUGCCGUUGAUACUGUUUGUCUUGAAUAUGAAUGAGGUAGGCGGAAUGUGGCAAGUAGCGGUGAAAUGCAUAGAUAUGCCACAGAACACCGAUUGCGAAGGCAGCUUACCAAGGCAAUAUUGACGCUGAGGCACGAAAGCGUGGGGAUCGAACAGGAUUAGAGACCCGCGUAGUCCCUGUCUCUUAUACC
rnacentral:rRNA from 1 species